rnacentral:rRNA from 1 species
UAUCACUUACAGAUGGACCCGCGGCGCAUUAGCUAGCUGGUGAGGUAACGGCUCACCAAGGCAACGAUGCGUAGCCGACCUGAGAGGGUGAUCGGCCACAUUGGGACUGAGACACGGCCCAAACUCCUACGGGAGGCAGCAGUAGGGAAUCUUCCGCAAUGGACGAAAGUCUGACGGAGCAACGCCGCGUGAGUGAAGAAGGUCUUCGGAUCGUAAAACUCUGUUGUUAGGGAAGAACAAGUAUCGUUCGAAUAGGGCGGUACCUUGACGGUACCUAACCAGAAAGACACGGCUAACUACGUGCCAGCAGCCGCGGUAAUACGUAGGUGGCAAGCGUUGUCCGGAAUUAUUGGGCGUAAAGCGCGCGCAGGCGGUCUUUUACGUCUGCUGUGAAAGCCCACGGCUCACCCGUGGAGGGUCCUUGGAAACUGGAAGACUUGA